AGGACAAGAACCCAGAAUCGACUUGCAAGCUAAGAGCUAAAAUUGCCAAAUUAUCAAGAAGGACAUUACACAAAGCUACAAUCAAUGGUGGACACGAUCUUGUCAAAAUACUUCUUGAAAGUGGCGAAGAUGUGAACCAGAUGGACGAGUUUGGUUUGACGCCUCUUCACCUUGCUGCAUGGUAUGGAAAGAGAGCUGUUGUAGAACUCUUGUUACAGCACGGGGCAAAUGUAAACGCCGUAGAUAGAUUUCAGAAAACACCUCUACAAAAAGCUGAACGCAACAAUCACCAAUCCAUAGUUGAGCUACUCCUAAGGAAUAAUGCCAGUCCCUCUUACAACCAACCGGUAUGGUCCGAAUAGUAUUCUACUUCCAUGAUUUUGAAUUAAAAGAAACAUCUUUUCAUGAACAGAGGAGGAUCGCGCUAAUUCAAUGAGCUUCAACAAAUGCUUCUUUUCGUGCAGUCAUUACGAGUCUGCAAUUGAUAGUUUUCAUGUUUUGGUGCAUGACUUCGUUGUAAUGGUCUUCGUGUCUUUUUCCAUCACUACCGACUAGCUGUGCAUAAGAUCUGUUCUAUACAUGUGCGUCUUGUGCCCGCAAUAAAGCGUUUUUUCUUUGUAAUUCUCAACUAAUUUACCAGACAGCACAAGUUCGCAAAAUGAGCCUCCGUAAAUAUGGAAGUAUGUUUACGUUGCGCAAUGGCUGAAUGAUAAGGAUUUGUAUGGGAAUAAACAGUCGUGCUCUUGAACUAAAAAUCUGGACAAAAAAUCUUCUCCUAAGUGGUUGAUCUUUUGAGAAGACACAAGUGCUUUGCACUGCAAGUAUUAAGCCCGCUGGGCUUGUCUCUUUCGGGUGUGGUAAUCCUGUAGUCAAUCUCAUUAAAUAUGUCAUGGGCCAACGAGUCUGCCUUUUGUCGAACGUCGAGGAUCGAGGGUUAUAAGUCGAGGGUGAGGGUAAU